rnacentral:rRNA from 1 species
CCUACGGGCGGCUGCAGUAAGGAAUAUUGGGCAAUGGCCGAGAGUCUGAACCAGCCAAGUCGCGUGAGGGAAGAAUGUCCUAUGGAUGGUAAACCCCUUUUGUCAGGGAGCAAAGUCACCCACGUGUGGGUGUUGGAGAGUACCUGAAGAAAAAGCAACGGCUAACCCCGUGCCAGCAGCCGCGGUAACACGGAGGAUGCGAGCGUUAUCCGGAUUUAUUGGGUUUAAAGGGUAAGUAGGCGGGUUAUCAAGUCAGCGGUAAAAUGGUGGAGCUCAACUCCAGCCAGCCGUUGAAACUGAUGAUCUUGAGUGGGCGAGAAGUAUGCGGAAUGCGUGGUGUAGCGGUGAAAUGCAUAGAUAUCACGCAGAACUCCGAUUGCGAAGGCAGCAUACCGGCGCCCGACUGACGCUGAAGCACGAAAGCGUGGGUAUCGAACAGGAUUAGAUACCCCAGUAGUC